AUCAGGAGGAGACAGAAUGAGCACAGAGGGCGAGCAUUUUGCCUGAAACUGGAGAAAUCAACGUUCAUGCCAUCGGGGUGUGGACUCCCGAGAUGCUGCCUGACCUGCUGAUUUCCUCCAGCAUUUUGUGUGUGUUGCUCCAGGUUCCAGCAUCUGCAGAAUCUCUUGUGUUAACUUCCAUCCAGACAUGUUCCAAUCUUCUGGGCUCAACAUCAAAUUCAACAGUUUCAGAUUUCCAGCUUCUACAGUUGAUCUUUGCCCUGAUUCACGGGUCAGUGCGUUAACGCUGCCUCAUUGACCCGAGAGUCCAGUUACCGUGCUGUGUAAAAAACGUUUGAAAGUCCACUCGACAGCAGAAGAGAAACAAACCGGGUUAAAGGUGUCCCCGGGGUGAGGGACCCAGCUCCCUCACACAGACUCACCCUCUCCCAA